rnacentral:tRNA from 1 species
GGAGGAUUGGCCGAGUGGCAAGGCACCGGCUUGCGCGAGUCGUUGAGCGCUUCGCGCAGGGCGUAGUCGGGUAUACAGCCCGCGCGCGUUCGAUCCGCGCAUCCUCCG